AGUGUCCGUUUCCGAGGCCCCAUCCCCGGAGGGUGCAGGAGAGUCUGCGCCCAGCGCGGACAGGGGCCCCGCGACCCUCGCUCGGGCUCCACUACGGCGGGCGGGCAUUGGCUGCCCAGAGGGCCCAGUCGGCUUCCGGCGGCCGCGGGCGACUCCUGGUACCCCCGAGGCCCCGCGAACUCACCUUCACAAAGCUGUCGGCGUCCGGGAAGCCUGGCAGCACCAUCUCUCCGUCGGAUUUGGUUGCGCUGGUCGCCGACAGGACCCUGGGCUCCCGGGUACUGGGUGGCGCCAUUUUUUCAGCCUGCACGGCUCGUCUCGCGAGAGCUUGUCGGCCGAGGAGACGGGACGCGUGCGCACCACGCAUGCGCCAGGUAAGCUCCUGAAGAAAGCGUCUAGCUCCAACUGUGCUUCCUCCCUCCAGUACCCUCUGAACUCCUCCAAGCAGACGUUGUUUCCUGCAGACAUCGCUGGAACCAUUCUGGUUAACACAGAGUGGGAACUCAGUACACAUUUGUGAAGUGAACUCCUGGAAGAGCUCUUGUGAGGGAGGCACCGAAUUAUCAGGCAGCUCAAGAGAUAGAUUCACUCUCCUGAAAUUAGAGAUGGGAUGCCCUUAAUACAAUUCAUUCCACCCAUUAAGUCUUCAAUAAAUGUUCAGCAUAUCCAGU
rnacentral:lncRNA from 1 species